GCAUACAUUAUUUGGUAACAGUUCUGCUUCAUUAUAUAUACCAUAGCUUAUCUCCCCAGUAACAGUCGUUCAGAAGUGUGUGGUCUGUGCCAUCCUAACAGCCUGGAAAGGCUCAGCCUUGAUAGUGUAACCGUCACACCUGCCCAGGCAGACCCAGCCACAUUCACAGGUUUCCCUGGUUGAAUUUGAUCAUCGCUGUCCCUGUAACUGGAAGUCGGCAGAGGAUCCGCAAUGCUGCCUAUCAACUCUGGACCUGGUCAACAAAAACGAGAAAACAACAAAAGCAACCGCGCUUCCACUCAACACGGCCGGCUAGACUCUCACAUCAGACAGACAGUCAGCAAAAGAAGUCCACAUGUAGGUGUAUACAUGGAUGUCAACAGUUGUAAUUAAAGAGAUUAAGUGGAAAAUAAAAGCAAGUUCGGGGCCAGUGCCGGCGUCUGACAGGGAAGCACAGCGAAUUUAAUGGAGAGAUGGAAGCAUUUGGUCCCUGAAGAUAAGCAUGACAUUGCAAUUUAGUAGCGAUGAGAAAGCUGACGCCUCUUGGAAUCACCGACCCACGAUCGCCAGCCUGCUCCAACCACAGUCUACAGGUUCAGGAAAAGCACUCAUCCCGAGCCCAGGUGGUCAGAAGAUUCUGGAAAAUGAUGGACGUAUGAGGACCAAUCUGAAUAGUGUGCUGGUUGGACACUUCAAUCCUGUGGUUUGCAUGGUCACUGACAUGACCUUGAUCCAGUGCUCAACAUCUUCUCCUGAGUAAGUUUAGACCCUCUCCCUUCUGUGGAUCAAGAAUAUGGGAAAUCACUUAAAAUUAUCUUUCAAAGAGAUGAACCAUAGUUCCCAUCCUCAGGAGAGAUUGGAGUGUCUAAAACACUCCAUGGAUGCUUGAACCACACGUAAUACCAAAUAUUCUAUUAAUAUUUUAUUUACUUUAUAAUUAUGUAAGUAAGAGAUUAACAACAAUGGCCAGUCAUAAAAUGCAGCAAAUAAGACAGCAUUCUGUUAGAAUUGUUACCUCAGCAAUACUUGUACUGGGGCCAUUGUUAGUAAGUGCACACACCACAGUAGGAGGUCUGGUAACUGAGAUGGCUUUGGGGCUGACAGGCAAAAAUGAUUCAGAUUCCUAAAAGAGAGAGAUCAGAUCGUACCUCUACAGAUGACAUCUAAUUAAAAACUUAGGGGUUAUUUUUUAAAACAUUUUUUGAAUUGUUGAGUGUUUGAAUUUCACUGGAGCAUCGGCAACUGAGGCCAAGGGAGUAAAAACCACGGAUAAGUAGAUCUACCGUAGAGUAGCAGCAGUUUAAAAUUCUCUAAAAAGCAAAGGUUUUCUACUGAGAUCCAUAAAUUGCUAAGGGAAAACUCCAUCUCUUUUGUUAAAUUCUAAAGUCACUUGCCUCAAAUAACUGGCUACCUAGUUAAAGUUAGAGCAGAAGGGUUGGGUUAGGAAGGAAAGGCUCACUCUUAAACAGAUACGAAGACUGGUGAUAUUUGCACAAGUCUUUGUUUGGGCUGUAAAUAGCCACCAAGAACUGUGUAGGCAAGCUCUUAUGCAGCCUCCUUAAUGACCUGAACCUCCAUUAUUCGCCAUCUUUGCUUUUAGUGUUAAAGAAAAGGCUAAUGGAAGUGGGACCAUUGUUGGCACAUGCUCUGUUUUAACAUUAGGAGGAGACGAACCAAUCACAUAAGCCCCAUUUGAACCCAUCAGGUGACCUAAUUAAAUGUUGCAUGAGGGCUGGAGAGGUGACUCAACAGUAAGAGAGCUUGCUGAGGACCUGGAUUCAGUUCCCAGCACCUAUAUGGUGGCUCACAAGUGUCUGUAACUCCUGUCCCAAGGUACCUCUUCUGGCCUCUGAGGGCACUGGACACAUAUGACAUGCACAUGUUCAUGAAGACAUACAUAAACUCACAAUAAAUAAAGUAUUUAAAUGUCUUCCAGGACAGUCUCCAAAGCUACAGAGAAAUCCUGUCUCCAAAAACCAAAAAAAGUAUUUAAAUAUCACAUUUUCUUUCAGAGAUCAUACUUUCUUGCCUCUUUCAGACAAAAUGUUGUUUUAGGAGUGCUGUUCCCAAAGGCUCAUCUGGUAAUUUUUUGGUUUCUAGUUACCAAUACAUUCUGGGAUGUUAUUGCUAUAGGAAUUCCUACCACCAGUAGCUUUUAAGUUACCUACCCACUUAGGCAUGGGCUCUUAUACUAUAUAUGCCGAUGUAAAGCACACAUAUGGCCUCUUUUCUGGCUACUGGAUUUGGUUGCUGUUCCCUGUUCAAGCAGAGGAUUGUGAUCUGUGAGUCUAUCCCUAAAUAAAUAACCCUCUAUUAUACUCAAUUCUGAGCUAGUAUGGGAUUUUUAUUAAGCGUCCUUUUUCAUCUGGCGCCCACGUGGAUCCAGAAGACCUAGGUCCACAGCCUAGAAAGACUCCCACCCCCACCCACUUGGCUUGCUUUUACCUAAGUGGCUUUUUGUAGAACCCCUGUGUGGUGACUUGGAAAUUUCCCAAGCGCACGCAUGCCCCCUGACACCACUGCCACGUUCCCUGCCACGGUUCCCUUCCACAUGGUGACUUGCACAGCUUCCAGUUUGUGCUCCCUGACUGUGAGUUCUGGAUUUUUUGCUCCGUGUAUGGAAUUGAUUUAAUUGCUUUUAAUUUGUCAAGCAAAGCAUAUUUCUCAGUGUCUAACUGGCACCAAGAUGAGAAAGCCAAAGCGGCUCAGGACUGUUCGUGGCACCAGGUUGCACAGCCGCUAGUUGUGACUGCAACCACGACAGCUGCUGUACAGUAAAGAUUAUUACACCUAAAACAGUUUACUGGACCUCAUACCAGAUAAAUAUUUUUUAAUUAAUAAAUUAAUAAACUUGAAAGUUAUAUAA